UACGUAGGGGGCAAGCGUUGUCCGGAUUUAUUGGGCGUAAAGAGCGUGUAGGCGGUCUGGUAGGUCCGUUGUGAAAACUCGAGGCUCAACCUCGAGACGCCGAUGGAAACCCUCAGACUAGAGUCCGGAAGAGGAGAGUGGAAUUCCUGGUGUAGCGGUGAAAUGCGCAGAUAUCAGGAAGAACACCAGUGGCGAAGGCGGCUCACUGGCCCGAUACUGACGCUGAAGCUCGAAAGCUAGGGGAGCAAACGGG
rnacentral:rRNA from 1 species